UACGAAGGUCCCGAGCGUUAUCCGGAUUUAUUGGGUUUAAAGGGUGCGUAGGCGGGUUAUUAAGUCAGUGGUGAAAGCCUUCAGCUUAACUGAAGAAUUGCCAUUGAUACUGAUGAUCUUGAGUACGAUUGAGGUAGGCGGAAUGUGUCAUGUAGCGGUGAAAUGCUUAGAUAUGACACAGAACACCGAUUGCGAAGGCAGCUUACUAAGUCGUAACUGACGCUGAGACGCGAAAGCGUGGGGAGCAAACAGG
rnacentral:rRNA from 1 species